AUACUUACCUGGCAGACGAGAUACCAUGAUCACAAUGAUGGUUUUCCCAUGCCAAGACUUAGCUAUUACACUCCAGAUAUGUUAACCUCUCUGAUUCCCCCAAAUCUGGGAAAUCUAACUGUAUAAUUUGUGGUUGUAAAGGACUGUGUUCAUGCUCUCCCCUUAA
ensembl:snRNA U1 U1 spliceosomal RNA